rnacentral:tRNA from 1 species
GGUGAGGUGGCCGAGAGGCUGAAGGCGGCGGUUUGCUAAACCGUUGUAGGGUCUUUAAAACCCUACCCAGGGUUCGAAUCCCUGCCUCACCGCCA